rnacentral:rRNA from 1 species
UACGUAGGGUGCGAGCGUUGUCCGGAAUUAUUGGGCGUAAAGGGCUCGUAGGCGGUUUGUCGCGUCGGGAGUGAAAACCUUGGGCUUAACUCAGGGCUUGCUUUCGAUACGGGCAGACUAGAGGUAUGCAGGGGAGAACGGAAUUCCUGGUGUAGCGGUGAAAUGCGCAGAUAUCAGGAAGAACACCUAUGGCGAAGGCAGCUCUCUGGGACGGUACUGACGCUGAGACGCGAAAGCGUGGGGAGCGAACAGG